rnacentral:rRNA from 1 species
CCUACGGGUGGCAGCAGUGGGGAAUAUUGGGCAAUGGGCGCAAGCCUGACCCAGCAACGCCGCGUGAAGGAAGAAGGCUUUCGGGUUGUAAACUUCUUUUAAGCGGGAAGAGCAGAAGACGGUACCUCUUGAAUAAGCCAUGGCUAACUACGUGCCAGCAGCCGCGGGAAUACGUCGGUGGCAAGCGUUGUCCGGAUUUACUGGGUGUAAAGGGCGUGUAGCCGGGCUGACAAGUCAGGUGUGAAAGCCGGGGGCUCAACCCCCGAACUGCAGUUGAAACUGUUGGUCUUGAGUAUCGGAGAGGCAGGCGGAAGUCCUAGUGUAGCGGUGAAAUGCGGAGAUAUUAGGAGGAACACCAGUGGCGAAGGCGGCCUGCUGAACGACAACUGACGGUGAGGCGCGAAAGCGUGGGGAGCAAACAGGAUUAGAUACCCUAGUAGUC